CCCAGGCAGGCAGGAUGGGGGCCAGCUGGGGUGGCCAUGCACGUACCAUUACGCAGCCCGGCAAGAAGGAAAACCCGCCACCGGCUCUCUUAAUGCCUCCUGCAAAUGAAGUGUGAAACGUGCUUUCAAGAGAACAAGGGUUUGAAACACGACCACAAAGCCGACCCCAGAAAGAGGAGCAGUCCUUGUUUUGCUGUUCAUGCCUGUGGCUAAGGUUGGUGAUCCUACUCCAGCUGAGAGUCAAGCUCCUCUGAACGUGCAAACAGCAAACAGGCAGCUGCCUGGGUCGUCUGCCACUGCGUGCACCCAAAUUGCUCCCGCACAAAAUGGCUGGAGGAUAUUCAGCACUUCUCCGGGGGGGAGGUUUGCUGAGUGGAAAAUCAUCUGCACCUGACGUCCACCCUUCGAAGGGUCUUUUCUGGGCUGGAGCACAGCAGGAGCAGGCUGCCUUGCCUAAGCAGGGCUCCAGAGCUGGCUAUCCUCAGGCCUGUGGCCAGGCUGAAGUCCAGCCCUUUGGAAAGAGACAGGAGAGGAUCUUAUAUCCCAACAGAGAUGGCACUGGAGUGGGACUGGACUCGCUGAAUUUAAUACCAGGAAUAUUAGUCUACUGUCACUGCUCCCUCUUGGCUUUUCAACAGGUGAAAAAGUCCUUAGGAAAAACCUGUUCUCCCCUUCCGUAGCAAAGAGCAGGUUGGAGACCAUCAGAUCCAGCAGGGUGAUGUCAAAUGGCAACAGCAGCCCCAGUAUACCCAGUACCCCAAAACAGCAACACGGAUGAGCAAGAGGCAAAGCAGGGAGAGGGAAAAAAACCAAUACCUUGUAGUACAAACCUCCAUUGGGGUGGAAUAUUCCACCACACCUCAGAUAAUCUCUCUGCUAGAGACACAAUCGAUAGCAUGCAAACGAAAUCCAGCUGAAAACACUAAACAUUUCCACAUGCCCUUUUGGAGGGAACAAAAUCCUUAGGAGAAAACAAAAGCCAGGCGAAGAGCUCAGGUCUCCUUUAAUUACCGCAGCACGGUGAGAGAUAAAACAGAAAGCCUUCAGAAUAAACAAAAGGAUUUGAUUUCCUCCACUUCAGCAAGGGCAGCCACCAU